UUAUAUAUGAAUCCACUAAUUUAAUAGAAAAUAUAUAGAUUAUAUGUUCAAUUACUUUUGCAAACUUCUGAUCACCCUCACCCACAAAUUCUCUUUUCUGAUCUCCUGACCCUCCUGAUUUACAAAUAUUAGUACAUCUUUCAAAAUGAUAAUUCAGGUAUCUCCUUUUACACUAUUGUGCAGGCUUUCAAGUUUGCUCUUGCGUAAACAAUGCAGUUUAGAGAAACAAGCAAGUUACUAUUCUAGCAAGUUGCUCUAUAGUAUUCAGUAUUUACCUGAAUAGUGACAGCAAGCUAGUCUUCUGCAGGCUUCUUUUGUUACAUUAUUAAAUUAUUUUUCUGCCCUAUUUUUUUUUUCCUUUUUCAGAUUCAUUUAAUCUGUAUCCUACCUCCCUCUUUCUUUUUAAAUC